rnacentral:rRNA from 1 species
GACGAACGCUGGCGGCGUGCUUAACACAUGCCAGUCGAACGGUGAAGCGCCUUCCUUUUUGGUUGGUGUGGAUGAGUGGCGAACGGGUGAGUAACACGUGAGUAACCUGCCCCCUUCUUCUGGAUAACCGCAUGAAAGUGUGGCUAAUACGGGAUAUUCUGGGUCUGUCGCAUGAUGGGUCUGGGAAAGAUAUUGCUUCGGUGGGGGAUGGGCUCGCGGCCUAUCAGCUUGUUGGUGGGGUGAUGGCCUACCAAGGCGGUGACGGGUAGCCGGCCUGGGAGGAUGGACGGUCACAGAGGGACUGAGACACGGCGCAGACUCCGACGGGAGGCAGCAGGGAGGAAUAGUGCACAAUGGGCGCAAGCCUGAAGCAGCGACGCCGCGUGAGGGAUGGAGUCCGUCUGGUUGUGAACCUCUUUCGCCAGUGAAGCAGGCCUGCCUCGUUUGUGGGUGGGUUGACGGUAGCUGGAUAAGAAGCGCCGGCUAACUACGUG